rnacentral:lncRNA from 2 species
AUGUCCGAGAGGCUCCUCGCCCUGAGGCCUGGGCUGGGGUGGCUGGCCCCCAGGCCCCCCACACACACCCCGGGGCAGGCUGGGCUUUCCCGCGGCCGAGCAGUCUCAGGGCUCUCGGGGUCUGCGCCCAGCCCCAGCCCAGCCUGCCUGUCGUCCCCGUGCAGGAACAAGACGUGGGCGGGAAGCUGCAGGGUGCGUGGCCCUCCUGUUCCUGUUGGACACUGGGCCUCGCCCUCCUCCUCCUCCCAGGCUGCACCCCAUCCCGGAGCCUCCCGGGAGGCCUGGAGGGCUGGAGGGUGGGGGCGCUGGUGGACACUCUCCCCCAUCUGCUGCACUCAGGGAGGCCUCUUCUCUGCAAGCCCCCUGCUUUCCUUGGGGGGGGGGUUGACCCUGAGAUGCUGGGCCGAGGUGUCCGCUGCCCCUGUGGCCAGGUUCACCUGCUGGACAACCCCUGGUUGUCAGAUGGGAGGCGGGGGCGCAUCAGGAGGCAGGGUGGAAGCCUGGGCUCCCCACCCGCUUGAGAAAGGAUUUCCCUGUCCAAGGUCUGUCCCCGCCCCCCCGGGAGGUCUCCUGAGCCAGGAGGGCACCUCUCGUGGGUGGGGCUCCCAGCGAGGGGGCGUGUGUCUCCAGGGGCGCCCGUCACACCCACACUGGGGCCUUCUGGGCCGUGCGCCCAGCCAUCAGCUCCCCGAAAGCCCCAGCCCCGAGUGGCUGGAACGUUCCAGAGCGGCCGGCCUCACUUCAGCCUCCGUGAGCCUGGCCCAGGGCCGGGGCUGCCAGACCAGCCUGUGGUCUGCGUCCCUGAGCCACAGAGGAUCCCAGCCCUUCCCCGGGCAGGCAGGGUCACCAACGCUGAGGGAAGGGCUGUCCUCCCGCAGCUCCCAACGUCGCAGGCGUCCUUCACACCCCCGCCCCACCCGAGGACGCUGCGAGCCUUCUGGUUGGCUGUAUGCGGAGACCCCGCCGUCGGGGUCAGCCAGGUUCCGGACCUCUUCAGGGAGCCGGCGGGUCUGCCCGUGAGGACUGCCCCGCCCGGCGCACAGCGGCUCCUCUCGGCCAAAUGUAUUUAUUCCCACCACACAGUCUCGAGCUUUUCUGGUUCCUCAGAGGCCGGAGUCCAGCAGGGAGGGCAGCCCCCCGAGGACAGAGUGCCCGGCACCUCCCUGCCGGCCUGGGCACGAGCAGCUGCGCGUGGCGGGCCGCCGCCGCCCCCCUCCCCAUGCCCCGCGAACCCUGACCUGCCCAGGGCUCCCAUCCCGCCGGGCACGCGGUCUCCGCCCGUCCCAGGCUGCCGCUCUGCAGUCAAACUGCAACAUGAAAAGAAUAAACACCUCACCUGUCGUUUGUAAGAGUCCA